CAACUGGUGGAUGGCUAGGCUCUGGCGCUGAAGAAGGGCGCGGCAAGCAGCGAUAUGCUCCGGGUAGGCGCAUGCAGCCUUCGAUCCGGAGAUCCCCUAAUGGGACAUCCUAUCGGGGGUUAAUAGCUCCCGAUGUUCCGACGAGGAACGGGAACUCCCUGAACGAAAACAUUCUAGUAAGGGAAGGAGGAGAUACCAAUCGGUAUUCCCUCAGUAGGGGCGACCGAAAGGGGAACAGCCCAAACCGAACCCUUAGCGAAAGCGAAAGGGGAUGUGGGGUUAUGGGCCCUCCCGCUUCUUACCCAGCGAAGCCGAAGUAGUCUGAAAAGGCUCACCGUAGAGGGUGAUAGUCCCGUAAGCGUAUGUUGGGUUGAAUUGGGGAGGAGUCCCGGAGUACUACGUCUUGAUCCUGACGUGGGAAUUUGGGAGUCACCGACUUCCAAGGCUAAAUACGUCCAGAGUCCGAUAGGGCACUAGUACCGUGAGGGAAAGCUGAAAAGAACCCCGAGAGGGGGGUGAAAAGAGUCUGAAACCAGUUGGCUACUUGUGGCAUGGUAUGAAAGGAAAGAACCUCUCUGAAGGAACCUCCGGAAGGAGUAGUACGAAGAGAGGGGACCAGUAUCAUGCCUUCCGUUUCGGAGCACGGCCCAGGGAGUUCAUUGAGGUGGCGAGCUUAAGAGGGUCAACCUCGAAGGCUAAGGGAAACCGAUAGCCCGCAACCAUAGCCUCUUCGCGCUACGAUGCAGGAGGCAACUGUGAAUGCUGAAGAGCGUGAAUGUUAUGGCCAGGGGCAAGGUCUGAUGAGGGCCUGUACAGUCACCUCGAUGAGAACCCGAUACCGAGCGAUCUAGGCCUGAGCAGGAUGAAGUCGGGCGAAAGCUCGAUGGAGGUCCGCAGGGGUUCUGACGUGCAAUUCGUUCCUCUGACUUGGGCCUAGGGGCAAAAGACCAAUCAAGCUCGGUGGUAGCUGGUUCCUCCCGAAGUGGGUCCCAGCCCAGCCUGCCUGGAGGUUGCGAGUGGGGUAGAGCACCAAUCAGGGAGUCAUAAACCGAAAGGUUUAGCUUCCUCUUUGAACUCCGAACCUGCUCGCUCCGUAGAAGGGCGGAGACGGUUUCCGUGGGAAAAGCUCACGGGACGAGAGGGGAACACCCCAGACUGAGGUUAAGGCCCCAAAAUGCUGGCUGAGUGUUAACUCAAAAGGCGUCUUUGAUCGAAGACAGCUGGGAGGUAGGCUUAGAAGCAGUUACCCUUUAAAGAGUGCGUAACAGCUCACCAGCCGAGAUCAAAGGCCCUGAAGAUUUUCGGGGCUAAGUCAGCUGCCGAUACCUCAGAGCGUUCAUUUGUUAAUGAACGUUGGUAGGGAGGCGUUGCGGUCGGGCAGAAGCUGGUUCGAGAGGACCAGUGGACCGAUCGCAAGUGCGAAUCCUGGGGGAAGUAACAGCGUAGAAAGGUGAAAAUCCUUUCCGCCGUAAGGGCCAGGUUUCCUCGGCAACGCGUCGUCGACCGAGGGUCAGUCGGUCCUAAGGCAGCACAUAACCUGUAGCUGUCGAAUGGGAAACUGGUUAAUAUUCCAGUACCUUGGGGAUACGUUUGAGCCUGAUUCCUGCGCUUCGAGAUAUGCCGAGCGGGGCUGCCGCCCUGUCUAACUUUCCGAAGCCUGGGGAGAACCGUAAUGGUGAGAACCGGGCGAAGGAGGGAAUGGCCGGCCGUUAGGCUGGUUCGGCAGAUUCUUGGAGCCCAUGAAAAGGGAAUUAGGAAGGAUUCUCCAAGCCCGUACCGAGAACCGACACAGGUGCCCUAGAUGAGUAGUCUCAGGCGUGUCGGGAACACCCUAGGUCAGGGAACUCGGCAAAUUAGCCCCGUACCUUCGGUAUAAGGGGUGCCUGGGUCCCUAAGCGAAUGCUUGGGGGUCUAGGUCGCAGUGACAAGGGGGAAGCGACUGUUUAAUAAAAACAUAGAUCCCCGCAAGCCCGUAAGGGUGUGAACGGGGGUUGAAUCCUGGCCACUAGCGGUCCGUGAAAACCGGGUACAACCGGGCGAAGCGCCGCUGAAGGCCGGGAGUAACUCUGACUCUCUUAAGGUAGCCAAAUGCCUUGCCGGGUAAGUUCCGGCGUGCAUGAAUGGACCAACGACUUCCCCGCUGUCCCGACCUGGGGCCCGGUGAACCUACCUCUUGGUGAAAAGGCCAAGGACUUCCAACGUGAGGAGAAGACCCCGUGGAGCUUUACUGCAGCCUGUUGCUGGGAUAGGGUCAUGAUUGCAGAGCGUAGGUGGGAGCCGUUAAUCCCAGCCUCUCAGGGGGCUGGGGGAGGCGCCAAUGUAACACCACCCAUUCAUGGCUAUAUCUCUGACCAGGACGCAAGUCCUGGGACAACGGCAGGUGGGCAGUUCGGCUGGGGCGGCACGCCCUUGAAAAUGUAUCAAGGGCGCCCAAAGGUCAGCUCAGUCGGGUCAGAACUCCGACGUAGAGGGCAAGGCCAAAAGCUGGCUUGAUUGGAUCCUGAAAAGCGAGGGAUCCAAGGGCGAAAGCCUGGCCUAGCGACCGCUCGUGCCCCCCUCGGUGGGGGCCGGGCAUGACAGAAAAGUUACCCCGGGGAUAACAGAGCCGUCGCGGGCGAGAGCUCCCAUCGACCCCGCGGUUUGCUACCCAGAUGUCGGCUCUUCCCAUCCUGGGAGUGCAGCAGCUCCCAAGGGUGGGGCUGCCCGCCCAUUAAAGGGGAACGUGAGUUGGGUUUAGACCGUCGUGAGACAGGUCGGACUCUCUCUGUUGGAAGCGUUGGUCGCUUGAGGGGAAGAUGCGGCUAGUACGAGAGGAACGCUGUGUCGCUGCCUCUAGUUUACCGGUUGUCCGGUAGGGCACUGCCGGGCAGCCACGCAGCAAGGGAUAACCGCUGAAAGCAUCUAAGUGGGAAACCCGCCCCGAGACUAAGCGACCAUUCCGCUCAAAGCGGACGAAGGCUCCUGUAGAACACAGGGUUGAUGGAACGGGGGUGUAAGCGCCAAGGCUUCGGCCGAGGCGUUCAGCCCGCCGUCCCCAAUCGCCUGAGGUGCUGACCC
rnacentral:rRNA from 1 species